CUUAAUUCGAAGCAACGCGAAGAACCUUACCAGGGCUUGACAUCUAGGUGAAGCGGCGGAAACGCCGUGGCCGAGAGGAGCCUAGACAGGUGGUGCAUGGCUGUCGUCAGCUCGUGUCGUGAGAUGUUGGGUUAAGUCCCGCAACGAGCGCAACCCUCGUCGCAUGUUGCCAGCGGUUCGGCCGGGCACCCAUGCGAGACCGCCGGCGUCAAGCCGGAGGAAGGUGGGGAUGACGUCAAGUCAUCAUGCCCCUUAUGUCCUGGGCUGCACACGUGCUACAAUGGCCGGCACAAUGGGCUGCCACUGCGCGAGCAGGAGCGAAUCCCCAAAGCCGGUCCCAGUUCGGAUUGGAGGCUGCAACCCGCCUCCAUGAAGUCGGAGUUGCUAGUAAUCGCGGAUCAGCACGCCG
rnacentral:rRNA from 1 species